UUUCCUUUUGAAGUAUUACAUGAAGUUGUUCUGUUAACUUGAAGGCUAAUUCAUGCUGCUGAUUAGUUAUGGUUCUCCAUGAAAAGGCAGUUGUUUGUACUUUGAAACACUGGGGUCUAAGCAUCCUACAAUUUUGACAAUGCAUUCUUUCACAAUUUCUAUGUCACUGAAUGGCUUCCCUUUUUUCCCAAGUAUAUCAGCUACUUUCUAAGUUGUUUCAGUGGUAUUAUUUCCAGGUCUUAUCGCUACUUGAAAGAAUUAUCUUUGCUCUUACUUUUCAUCUUUUAAUUUCUGAAAUACAACCUUUUGUAUCUCUCCCCCUAAUUUAAAAUAUUUAUGGGGGCUGAAGGAGAAGAUGGCGGUCUCCACAGCAGUUAAAGUUCCUUGUAAUUUUUGCUUGUUGGAAGAACUUGAAGAAGGACAAAAAGGAGUAGGCGAUGGUACGGUUAGCUGGGGCCUAGAAGAUGAUGAAGAUAUGACACUUACAAGGUGGACAGGCAUGAUUAUUGGGCCACCAAGGACAAAUUAUGAAAACAGAACAUACUACUUGAAAGUAGAAUGUGGAUCUAAAUACCCAGAAGCUCCUCCAUCAGUUAGAUUUGUAACAAAAUUAAUAUGAAUGGAAUAAAUAAUUCCAGUGGGAUGGUGGAUGCAAGGAGCAUACCAGUGUUAGCAAAAUGGCAAAAUUCAUAUAGCAUUAAAGCUGUACUUCAAGAGCUAAGACAUCUAAUGAUGUCCAAAGAAAAUAUGAAGCUUCCACAGCCACCAGAAGGACAAACUUACAACAAUUAAUUUUAGUGGAUCUCAAACUUAUCUUUGAUCAACAACCUUCUACUCAUGUUAAUGUCUUGAUUAAAUAUCACAAUGCAAAAUACCCACACAUUAAGUAAAAGAAUUCCACCUGGUAAACAUAACCUGGACAUUUGUAUUAAAUAAGAAUAUAUUUAAUAUAUGUACACCCAUUAUGUUUUCAGGUAACAGGAGGAAAAAUGCAGCACAAUUUUUUUUCUCUUGUUAAUGCAUUGUCAUUUAAACAUAAACCUGGAAUACUCGAGACAGAAUUCAGGUUUACAAGAUGAAAGUGUGAAGAGGUGUCAGAUGGCAGCGGAAGCAUGUGUGUUUCUGAAAAGUAAAAAUCCCAAGAAGGAAAAACAGAACUGGCAUGCGUUAUCCAUCUUGCUUAGUGAAAGGGCUGCAGUUGACAUUGUUUAAAGUAGCAGGUACAAUGAAUAUUGUCACAAAUUGUGUUAAUUUUUGAAGCAGUGUGGGUGCUGACUACUAGUAUCAAAAAUAUGUUCAGGAUUGUUUUGAUACCUGUAUUUAUAAUAAAAAAUGUGGGGAGUUUUAAUGAGUUUCUGUUAAAAGCUGUUCCUGUGUGUUACAUGUAACAGACAUGGUAAAUAUUUGUUUACAGUCUUUGUUUAACAAACCACACAUUUAAGUUUAAGUGAAGUCAAGAAAAAGGAAAUAGGUGUACGGAUAUGUGAUUUUGAGAUUAAAGUUAGUCUUAAAAUGUAAAUAAAAUGUGGGACGUGAAAAAAAAACAAAAUAUUUAUGGUC